GACGAAGGGGGCUAGCGUUGUUCGGAAUUACUGGGCGUAAAGCGCGUGUAGGCGGUUGCCCAAGUCGGGUGUGAAAGCCUUGAGCUCAACUCAAGAAAUGCACUCGGUACUGGGUGACUAGAGGACCGGAGAGGAUAGUGGAAUUCCCAGUGUAGUGGUGAAAUACGUAGAGAUUGGGAAGAACACCAGUAGCGAAGGCGGCUCGCUGGGCCAUUCCUGACGCUGAGACGCGAAAGCUAGGGGAGCGAACAGG
rnacentral:rRNA from 1 species